rnacentral:rRNA from 1 species
AUAGAUGUGAUUUAAUGUUUUUGGUUUAUUAAUUGAAGUUAAAUAUUUUUUUUUGAGUUUAAUAUUUAUUGUUUUUAGGUGAAAUUUAAAUAUUUAAUAAUCUUUAUUUGAUUCUUUUAAAUUUGAGAUUUAGACUAGGAUUAGAUACCCUAUUAUUUUAAACGUUAAUUAUUUACCUGAGUAGUAUUAGUUAUGUCCUUUAAACUCAAAGAAUUUGGCGGUGUUUUAUUCUAUUCAGAGGAACUUGUCUCGUUAUCGAUAAUCCCCGUUAUAUCUUGCUUGAUUUUAAUUAGUAUGUAUACCGCCGUUAUAAGUUUAUUUUUUUAGAUUAUUUACUGUUAAUAUUAUUAUAUUUUAUUUC